rnacentral:rRNA from 1 species
GACGAACGCUGGCGGCGUGCUUAACACAUGCCAGUCGAACGGAAAGGCCCUGCUUUUGUGGGGUGCUCGAGUGGCGAACGGGUGAGUAACACGUGAGUAACCUGCCCUUGACUUUGGGAUAACUUCAGGAAACUGGGGCUAAUACCGGAUAGGAGCUCCUGCUGCAUGGUGGGGGUUGGAAAGUUUCGGCGGUUGGGGAUGGACUCGCGGCUUAUCAGCUUGUUGGUGGGGUGGUGGCCUACCAAGGCUUUGACGGGUAGCCGGCCUGAGAGGGUGACCGGCCACAUUAGGACUGAGAGACGGCCCAGACUCCUACGGGGGACGGCGGUGGGGAGUAUUGCGCAAUGGGCGGAAGCCUGAUGCAGCGAAGCCGCGUGCGGAAUGACGGCCUUCGGGUUGUGAACAGUUUUCGCCUGUGACGAGGAGUGAGUGACGGUAAUGGGUAAAGAAGCACCGGCUAACUACGUG